AGAGUUUGAUCAUGGCUCAGGAUGAACGCUGGCGGCGUGCUUAACACAUGCAAGUCAAGGGGGCCCAGCAAUGGGCAACCGGCGAACGGGUGCGUAACACGUGAGCAAUCUACCGAAUUGUGGGGGAUAGCCGGCCCAACGGCCGGGUAAUACCGCAUACGAUCGAGACGAGGCAUUUCGACUCGAUGAAAUCUACGGAGCAAUUCGAGGAGCUCGCGGCCUAUCAGCUAGUUGGCGAGGUAACGGCUCACCAAGGCUACGACGGGUAGCUGGUCUGAGAGGAUGGCCAGCCACAUUGGGACUGAGAUACGGCCCAGACUCCUACGGGAGGCAGCAGUGGGGAAUCUUGCGCAAUGGCCUAACGGCUGACGCAGCGACGCCGCAUGAGGGAUGACGCUCUUCGGAGUGUAAACCUCUUUUGCCCGGGACGAAUUGCCAACAUCAGUUGGCUUGACGGUACCGGGUGAAUAAGCACCGGCUAACUCCGUGCCAGCAGCCGCGGUAAUAC
rnacentral:rRNA from 1 species